rnacentral:rRNA from 1 species
AUGGAGGGGCACCGAGGCAAGCAGGCAACGAGGCAGGGGCGACGGGUCCUGGUGGCCGGCAGGAGGGGUUCGAGAUGGCAGCAGCAAGACAAGGUGCGGCGGAGCGCCAUGGCACUGGCAGCGGCACCUGUGAGCAGAGGCGUCCGUAGGGCGGUAGAGCAGCAGCGACAAAGGCGGACGUGGAGGAGAAAGGAGGGCACGGGCAGGGAGGCCCUGGUGGUGCAGGGACGAAGCAGCAGGGCGUUGGCGCAGGUCGUUGCCGGUGAAGGGGCAUGGCGCAGCGACGAGGAGGUAGUGGAGGCGGGGCAUGUCGCUGAACCGGUGGCCUGGUUGCUGCUGGUUCGGUCGCCGGCGGCGGCGGCUUGUCGAGGUGGCCGGGUGGCGGCGACGGGAAGAGCAGCUGCAGCAGAGCGUGGAAGGAGCAGAAACAGAGGAAGGGGGGCCGCGCGAAGGGCGUCGGCGGGAAGAAGGUGCGGGCGCAUGGAGCUCUCGCUCCUCUUUGUCUGUGGGUGA